UACGGGGGGGGCAAGCGUUGUUCGGAAUUACUGGGCGUAAAGGGCUCGUAGGUGGCCAACUAAGUCAGACGUGAAAUCCCUCGGCUUAACCGGGGAACUGCGUCUGAUACUGGAUGGCUUGAGUUUGGGAGAGGGAUGCGGAAUUCCAGGUGUAGCGGUGAAAUGCGUAGAUAUCGGAAGGAACACCAGUGGCGAAAGCGGCUUCCUGGUCCAGCACCGACGUUCAGGCACGAAAGCGUGGGUAGCAAACAGG
rnacentral:rRNA from 1 species